AGAGUUUGAUCCUGGCUCAGAACGAACGCUGGCGGCGUGGAUAAGACAUGCAAGUCGAGCGAGAUUUUUUCUUGUAGCAAUACAGGGAAAAGUCUAGCGGCGAACGGGUGCUUAACACGUGGGCAACCUGCCGUGAAGUGGGGGAUAGCUCGCCGAAAGGCGAAUUAAUACCGCAUGUGAUUAGAGAGGACAUCCUUUCGAAAUUAAAGUCGGGGCAACCUGACGCUUCUUGUGGGGCCCGCGGCCUAUCAGCUAGUUGGUGAGGUAACGGCUCACCAAGGCUUUGACGGGUAGCUGGUCUGAGAGGACGACCAGCCACACUGGGACUGAGACACGGCCCAGACACCUACGGGUGGCAGCAGUCGAGAAUUUUUGACAAUGGGGGAAACCCUGAUCGAGCGACGCCGCGUGGAGGAUGAAGGUCUUCGGAUUGUAAACUCCUGUCAUUGGGGAACAAGGUGCAUACGUUAACUGCGUGUGCAUUGAUAGUACCCGAAGAGGAAGAGACGGCUAACUCUGUGCCAGCAGCCGCGGUAAUACAGAGGUCUCAAGCGUUGUUCGGAUUCAUUGGGCGUAAAGGGUGCGUAGGCGGCGCGGUAAGUCGGGUGUGAAAUCUCGGAGCUUAACUCCGAAACUGCAUUCGAUACUGCCGUGCUUGAGGACUGGAGAGGAGACUGGAAUUUACGGUGUAGCGGUGAAAUGCGUAGAUAUCGUAAGGAAGACCAGUGGCGAAGGCGGGUCUCUGGACAGUUCCUGACGCUGAGGCACGAAGGUCAGGGGAGCAAACGGGAUUAGAUACCCCGGUAGUCC
rnacentral:rRNA from 1 species